AGAUAAGGAAAUGAUGGUGGCACAGUGUGAGCAGAUGUAGCAUAUACCUGUCGCCUAGUCUGGAGUUUCAGAAAGCCUUCUGGAAGGAAGUAACAUCUCAGCAGAGUGCAGAAGGAUGGAAGGAAGGGCAUUUCAGAGACAGGAAUGAACACAUACAAAUGCCCUGAGGCAGGAGCCCUGUCUCAUCAAAGCCAGUGUGACCCAAGCACCCAGUGAAGAACAUGAGGUGGAGAUGAUAUUGGCGAUGUCGACACCGAUGAGACCACACAGGGCCUGCAGGACAUGAGAGGGAUGCGCUGGUAGUAUGUGUUAAGGUUAAAGAAAGAGAUUGGAGCAGAGUAGGGGUGGCCCAGUGAAAUCUGACCGGACGUGUGUUUUUAAAAGCCCACGAUGUGAAGGAUGACUCUAAGGAGCACAAAUCGCUAAAAAAAACAGCUCUGACUCUGGGACCAGAAUUCAGUAAGCAUCUCUUAGUGCAAAGUGUACAAACAGCACAAGGACACAAAGAUUUAAGAGGACAAGUGCUUGCCAAGGUCACAGGAAGCAGAAGACCAAAACACAGAAGCUGCCAAAUCCCAGACUGGUCCUGCCUGGAAAGCAUGGCUUCAGAUGAGUUCCAUCACUUCUAGCCAGUGUGGCCAGCUUGGAACUCACUGAAUUGUUGAGACUCAGGUUCCUGGAUGUAACAUCUGGAAGAGAAGGCCACCUUCCUAGGCUGUUGUGAGAAUCAAAUGAAGUAAUGUCUGUAAGAGUACGUGCUCACCAAAUGUCAGCGCCUCUUUCUUACCCAUCUUUACCUCUGACCAUUUACAUGUGGAACUACAAGGUCUGCAUUCCCUGAGCACAAGGCAGACAACAAGAGGGGCAGUGGCUCAGGAGUCUCCUUGCCAUUCAAUUGAAAGGAAAAAAGCCCUUCCCUAAAUCGUCAAUAAAGACACUGAAACAGGGGCACC